ACCCCAAGGCGACGAUCAGUAGCUGGUCUGAGAGGAUGGACAGCCACAUUGGGACUGAGACACGGCCCAGACUCCUACGGGAGGCAGCAGUGGGGAAUUUUCCGCAAUGGACGAAAGUCUGACGGAGCGACGCUGCGUGAAGGAUGAAGGCCCGUGGGUUGUAAACUUCUUUUCUCGAAGAAGAAAAAAAUGACGGUAUUCGAGGAAUAAGCAUCGGCUAACUCUGUGCCAGCAGCCGCGGUAAGACAGAGGAUGCAAGUGUUAUUCGGAAGGAUUGGGCGUAAAGAGUCUGUAGGCGGUUUAGAAAGCCUUUUGUGAAAUACUUCAGCUCAACUGAGGCUCCGCAAAAGAAACUUCUAGACUUGAGGAAAGUAGAGGUACAGGGAAUUUCCGGUGGAGCGGUGAAAUGCGUAGAUAUCGGAAGGAACACCAAUAUGGCGAAGGCACUGUACUGGGCUUUUCCUGACGCUCAGAGACGAAAGCUGAAGGAGUGAUUAGGAUUAGAUACCCUAGUAAUUUCAGCCGUAAACGAUGAAAACUCACUGUCGAGCCAAUAUAUGGAGCGGUGGUCAAGCUAACGCGUGAAGUUUUCCGCCUGGGGAUUACGCUUGCAAAAGUGAAACUCAAAGGAAUUGACGGGGACCCGCACAAGCGGUGGAGUAUGUGGUUUAAUUCGAUGCAACGCGAAAAACCUUACCAGGGUUUGAAAUAAUUUCAAAACUUCUUGAAAGAGAAGCCUCCUUCGGGAUGGAAUUACAGGUGGUGCAUGGCUGUCGUCAGCUCGUGUUGUGAAAUGUCAAGUUAAGUCUUGUAACGAGCGCAACCCAUGUCUCUUGUUGCUGUUUACAGUGCUUAAGAGAAACUGCCGAUCAACAUCGGAGGAAGGUGUGGAUGAUGUCAAGUCAGCAUGCCCCUUACAUCCUGGGCUACACACGUACUACAAUGGUCGAGACAAAGGGUCGCUAACCUGCAAAGGCAUGCCAAUCUCAUAAACUCGAUCUCAGUUCGGAUUGUACUCUGCAACUCGAGUACAUGAAGGUGGAAUCGCUAGUAAUCGCUGGUCAGCAUACAGCGGUGAAUACGUUCCCGGGUCUUGUACACACUGCCCGUCACACCAUGGAAGUCGACCCUUCCCUAAGUCGUUAC
rnacentral:rRNA from 1 species